GACAGAGGGGGCAAGCGUUGCUCGGAAUCACUGGGCGUAAAGGGCGCGUAGGCGGGAUGGCAAGUCAGUCGUGAAAUCUCUCGGCUCAACCGAGAAACGUCGGCUGAUACUGCCGUUCUUGAGGGAUGCAGAGGAGACUGGAAUUCCCGGUGUAGCGGUGAAAUGUGUAGAGAUCGGGAGGAACACCGGUGGCGAAGGCGGGUCUCUGGGCAUCUCCUGACGCUGAGGUGCGAAAGCGUGGGGGAGCAAACGGG
rnacentral:rRNA from 1 species